UCACUAGGCUCUUCUCCCACUGCUCUCUCUCUCUAUUUCUAAACACACACACACACACUACACACACUGAGGGAGGGUGUGUGUGUGUCUGUGCGUGUGGGCGAUGGAAUUUGAUUGCCCCGAGGCAGCAAAACAGGUACUAAUAGUGGUGGCAUUCAUAACUUCUUCAAAAGACCAAAAGGAUUUGCAUUUUGUGUUUCUUGUCUGUUUUUGCAUUUCCCACUUACAUAAAAGGCUUCUACUUUUCUUCUUCUUUUCUCUCUUUUCUUCACCCUCCUUUUCCUAUUCUUGGUCUUGCUAGUCUUUGCAUUUCGAUUUGGGAUUUUCUGGAGUUUCCCAUUUCAGCAAUUUGAUAUUAAAAAUUGAAUCUUGUCGAUGGGGUUGGUGGAAAGAAUUGGGUGGAUGCAGAGCAAUGGCAGGAAGGAGUGCAGAAGAUUAGUGUGGAGGAUAAAAGCAGCAAUAAAGAAGGCAAUGAGGAAAGGAAGCAGACAGCACUUGAGAUUUCAGUAUGAUCCUCAUAGUUAUGCCCUCAACUUUGAUGAUGGAAGUCACCAAGCAGAUUUUCCCCUUGAAAAAUUUAGAGAUACAGUUUUCAUUUAUGUUGUGUGGCUGGAGUGAAUCCAAGGAGGUGGCUGCAAUUUGCUUUGCUAUAUAGCUACUAGUAUAUGAGUAUCUCAUCUUUGUUUACCCCCUUUUUUUUCAAUGCAUGGGGAAAUUUACCCAUUUUGGGUUUUAUUUAUUUUUAUAUGUUUUGGGGUAAUGUUAUUGCAAGAUGAGAGUUGAUGAUGUGUUUUUUUCGGAAAUUACUUAAAAGUUUUUUGAGGAAAAAUAUACAUGUGUUUUUAUUAGCACUGAUAAUUAAGAAGGAAGGCAUCCUAAGAAUAAGAACAAGUGUGAGCUUUUACACUCGCUCCCUUUACUUUCGGCAACCAUUUUCAUUCUCUAAAG
rnacentral:lncRNA from 1 species